rnacentral:rRNA from 1 species
AGAGUUUGAUUCUGGCUCAGAUUGAACGCUGGCGGAACGCUUUACACAUGCAAGUCGAACGGUAACAGCGAGGAAAGCUUGCUUUCUUCGGCUGACGAGUGGCGAACGGGUGAGUAAUACAUCGGAACGUGUCCGCUCGUGGGGGACAACCAUCCGAAAGGAUGGCUAAUACCGCAUGAGUUCUACGGAAGAAAGAGGGGGACCUGCUUGCAGGCCUCUCGCGAGCGGAGCGGCCGAUGACUGAUUAGCCUGUUGGUGAGGUAACGGCUCACCAAAGCAACGAUCAGUAGCUGGUCUGAGAGGACGACCAGCCACACUGGGACUGAGACACGGCCCAGACUCCUACGGGAGGCAGCAGUGGGGAAUUUUGGACAAUGGGCGCAAGCCUGAUCCAGCUAUUCCGCGUGUGGGAUGACGGCCCUCGGGUUGUAAACCACUUUAGUAGAGAACGAAAAGGAGCUAUCGAAUAAAUAGCUCUGCUGACGGUACUCUAAGAAUAAGCACCGGCUAACUACGUGCCAGCAGCCGCGGUAAUACGUAGGGUGCGAGCGUUAAUCGGAAUUACUGGGCGUAAAGGGUGUGCAGGCGGCUGAGUAAGACAGAUGUGAAAUCCCCGGGCUUAACCUGGGAACCGCAUAUGUGACUGCUUGGCUAGAGUG